GACGAACGCUGGCGGCGUGCUUAACACAUGCAAGUCGAACGGAAAGGCCCUGCUUUUGUGGGGUUCUCGUGUGGCGAACGGGUGAGUAACACGUGAGUAACCUGCCCUUGACUUUGUGAUAACUUCAGGGAACUGGGGCUAAUACCGGGUAGAAGCUCCUGCUGCGUGGUGGGGGUUGGAGAGUUUCGGCGGUUGGGGAUGUACUCGCGGCUUAUCAGCUUGUUGGUGGGGUAGUGGCGUACCAAGGCUUCGACGGGUAGCCGGCCUGAGAGGGUGACCGGCCACAUGGGGACUGAGAUACGGCCCAGACUCCUACGGGAGGCAGCAGUGGGGAAUAUUGCACAAUGGGCGGAAGCCUGAUGCAGCAACGCCGCGUGCGGGAUGACGUCCUUCGGGUUGUAAACCGCUUUCGCAUGUGACGAAGCGUGAGUGACGGUAAUGGGUAAAGAAGCACCGGCUAACUACGUG
rnacentral:rRNA from 1 species